rnacentral:lncRNA from 1 species
UUUAGAGAAAUGAUAUUUGUACAUCCAAUUUUAGACAACAUUUGAGACAACUUUCUCUCUCACACUCUCAUUGUGAAUCUUACUCUCUCUCCUAAUCACUUUUUUUAAUGUUUUUGUCCCAAAAGAUAAAGGGAAAAAAUGUUGUCCCAAAAGUUGUCCAAAAAAUUGUUGUCCAAAUAACACUACUCUAUAUUUAAGGUCAGAGUUUGAACUCUAGACAUUCUACUUAUUUACCUUAAAUUUAUU